rnacentral:rRNA from 1 species
UGGGGAAUAUUGCGCAAUGGGGGGAACCCUGACGCAGCCAUGCCGCGUGAAUGAAGAAGGCCUUCGGGUUGUAAAGUUCUUUCGGUAUUGAGGAGGGUUGAUGUGUUAAUAGCACAUCAAAUUGACGUUAAAUACAGAAGAAGCACCGGCUAACUCCGUGCCAGCAGCCGCGGUAAUACGGAGGGUGCGAGCGUUAAUCGGAAUAACUGGGCGUAAAGGGCACGCAGGCGGUUAUUUAAGUGAGGUGUGAAAGCCCCGGGCUUAACCUGGGAAUUGCAUUUCAGACUGGGUAACUAGAGUACUUUAGGGAGGGGUAGAAUUCCACGUGUAGCGGUGAAAUGCGUAGAGAUGUGGAGGAAUACCGAAGGCGAAGGCAGCCCCUUGGGAAUGUACUGACGCUCAUGUGCGAAAGCGUGGGGAGCAAACAGGAUUAGAUACCCUGGUAGUCCACGCUGUAAACGCUGUCGAUUUGGGGGUUGGGGUUUAACUCUGGCGCCCGUAGCUAACGUGAUAAAUCGACCGCCUGGGGAGUACGGCCGCAAGGUUA